rnacentral:rRNA from 1 species
GACGAACGCUGGCGGCGUGCUUAACACAUGCAAGUCGAACGGAAAGGCCCUGCUUUUGUGGGGUGCUCGAGUGGCGAACGGGUGAGUAACACGUGAGUAACCUGCCCUUGACUUUGGGAUAACUUCAGGAAACUGGGGCUAAUACCGGAUAGGAGCUCCUGCUGCAUGGUGGGGGUUGGAAAGUUUCGGCGGUUGGGGAUGGACUCGCGGCUUAUCAGCUUGUUGGUGGGGUAGUGGCUUACCAAGGCGUUGACGGGUAGCCGGCCUGAGAGGGUGACCGGCCACAUUGGGACUGAGAUACGGCCCAGACUCCUACGGGAGGCAGCAGUGGGGAAGAUUGCACAAUGGGCGGAAGCCUGAUGCAGCAACGCCGCGUGCGGGAUGACGGCCUUCGGGUUGUAAACCGCUUUCGCCUGUGACGAAGCGUGAGUGACGGUAAUGGGUAAAGAAGCACCGGCUAACUACGUG